AGUUGGGCUUACUUUCUAUUGUUAUAUAGUCAUAAGGCAGAUUGUUCAUUAAAAUUAAGUUAUACUAAUGACUAAACUAAAUGACUCAGUGUUCUUGCAGAACGAAGCCAAAUGUCAGAGAUCUUGUUUCAAUUUGAAACCACGAAUCAAAACAUUGUGCGAAAACUGAACCAAACUCAGUGAGUGCCCAUGCCCAGGUUUGUGUGCUAUGCGACAUGAUUAUAAUGGGUUUGAAUUGGGAUGUAUACCAGGGACAACUCUCUGGAGGGUGCAGUGGUAGUUCC